CUUAAGUGCCCUAUCAUUCUCUUUUUCUCUACCUCUAGCACCAAUGUCAACCACAAGAAAGAGGAAAAGGAGAUCUCUCCGGCGAGGACGAGGAGCUCAUGUCACUCCAAUCUUGAAGCUCUGAGGAGGCCAUCGUCUCCACUGGUGACGAGGAUGAAGAGAUGCACUUUUUCUUUGGCAAUUCUGUUGGCUAAAAUAUGAGGUUAUUGUUUGAUUUGUUUGUAGCAUAUCAUCCAUAUAAGUUCGACAAAGAAAGAAACCAGUGGAAGAAAUGAGGUGCGGUGCGGUGAAGUUCAUGGAGCUCCAUGGCUCGUUUCUUCUUUCAACAACUAAUAUCUGGGUCAGCUAUUGCCAUGCAAUGGUAAUUAAACUUUCCCCUUUCUUCACUGUCCAAUCUAAAUUGUGUUGACCACUAUACUCUGCAUUGGAAUGUAGUAUAGGUAAAGUUUCAUUCUUCUGAACAUUAUGUUUGAAGUAUCAGUCUUCUGUGUAAUAUGUCUCUUCAUGAAGCAAGCAUGUCACCGGGACCUGAAGAUGGAAAACACUUUGUUGGAUGGAAGCCCAGUGCCUCGUUUGAAGAUAUGUGAUUUUGGGUACUCCAAGAUGGUGCUCUAACAGCUGUUCAAAACUUGGUAUUCACUUCUAUAUGUGGCAUUAUACACUCAAUCAUUAGCGGUCAACCUUUGCUGAUUUUGGGAGUGGCAGAGCCUACCGUGAUCAUGUACACCUUUAUAUUCAAUUUUGCAAAAGAAAGACCAGAGUUGGGCCAGAAUCUAUUUCUGGCAUGGACUGGAUGGUGAAUAAGUUUUUCUUUUGAAUUUUUUUUCUUCAUUUUUUUUGGAGACCCUGAUUUUUUUGUUCUAGUACCUUCCAUCAUGACGUGACUUAACAUUGUCCUGUUUUUUUUAUAACUUAAAACUUGAUGUCUUGUAUAAA